ACAUGUGAAUGACCCUGUUUAGCAAAGCCUCGUCGCAAUUAUUGUACGUCUGGAAGUGAUUUCAUAAAACCGUCGUUCGAAUGAUCCACGAAACGGUUCGAUACAGCGCCGUAGCGCACCACUCUGAAGAUACCAAAUCCCCCAAAUUCCUCAACGCCACCGACGAAAUCAGAUAAGAAGCACAGUGCGUAUUUUUCCCCCCAAGUUCCCGGUAACAGCUCUCGCUCUCUCGUCGCUCCGACGAGACCGGAGAGGUUACCGCCUCCGAUCCGUCGACGCCAAUGAAGAUUACCGCCCUGCUCGUCCUCCGAUGCGCCAUCUCCGGUGGCGACUCCUCCUCGGGGCCGUCGGAUCCAGUGGUGCUGGCCAACGCCUCCGAUGUGAGUCAUUUCGGCUACUUCCAACGGGCCGCCGCCAAGGAGUUCAUUCUCUUCGUCGGCCGCACCGUCGCCAAGAGGACGCCCCCCGGCCAGCGUCAGUCCGUCCAACAUGAAGAGUAUAAGGUGCAUUCUUACAACAGAAAUGGUCUAUGUGCAUUGGCAUUUAUGGAUGAUCAUUAUCCUGUGCGAAGUGCAUUUUCUCUCCUCAACACGGUACUAGAUGAAUAUCAGAAGACUUUUGGGGAUUCAUGGAGAUCGGUACAGACAGAUGCUGCUCAAUCAUGGCCGUACUUAAAUGAAGCGCUGACAAAAUUUCAGGACCCUGCAGAGGCCGACAAGUUGCUGAAAAUUCAGAGGGAUUUGGAUGAAACCAAAAUCAUCCUUCAAAUUUUGUUUUGUUUUUUGUUUUUUUUUAAAAACGUUUUUAAAGUUCCUCUAAAGAGAGAAAGAAGACUAAUUAAACAAAUGGGCAAUUUACUGUGAUGGAUAUGAAAACUGAAGGAUGCACGCCAAUUACAUGUACAAGGGGUAUAGAAGGAUGUUGAAUGGUUGUUUAUCGUCCAUUCCCUAUUUUGAUUCGAGAUUACACAACAAAACAAGAGAUGUUGACAUUUUCACAAGACCAUUGAUAGCGUGCUUGCACGAGGGGAGAAAUUGGAUAGCUUAGUGGAGAAAAGUUCAGAUUUGAGUGCUGCUUCUCAGAUGUUCUACAAGCAAGCCAGGAAAACUAACCAGUGCUGUACGAUCCUUUAACAUCAUUGAAAGGCCACGAAUUUUGUUAAAUUACGACUGAUGAAGGGUCUAAUCUAUUUCUUGGGAGUCAAAUCCUGAUAAAAUGAGUGUUGUAUUCCUGAUAUCAUUUAUAGAAUUGCCUGUGGAUAAAUUUAUGGCCUUGAAUAUUCUUUCAAAAAUUUAUUCUUUUUACGUAAAUAUGGAAAGACCUGUAGAAGCUCCCAUCCAAUGAGAACGUAGCUCAUGUCUGGAUGUACCAUGUUCUUGAAUUCUAUAUGUAUUUUCUUAUGAAUCUUCGUUGCCUUUUUAGUAGCUGUAUUACUUCUUUGAGUAGAAUAUGAAAUGUUCUUGU